UUACAUAAUGUGUAAUAACACCUUGAUUAAACUUCCAUAGUAUUUCUUUUUAUACCUCUGCUGGUGAACUAUCAGUCCCGGGUGUAUUAUUAGCUGAGUAGUCAAUAAUUCGGUCAUGACAUGAUUUAUUAAAAUCCUACUUAAAUUGUCAGUUUAAUAAAAAAAAAAUGAAAUUAUAAAGAAAUUAAGGUUUCAACUCCCUCAGACAAAGUUGGCUUGAUAUAGAUUUGCCUAUUUUUUGGUACUUUUCGGUCAUAAAGCUCUUCAAUUGUUUCGGUUUUAGUAAAUUACUGGCUUUGAAAUAUUUGACUUUGGGUAUUCCGGAUGAAAGUAAAU
rnacentral:lncRNA from 1 species